AUAUAAUGUGUACUGUGGCAGAACAUUUAAAACAAAGAGGAGACUUUUUAUAGCAGACGUGCCAGGCAUACCAGAGAGACACAGCAUGGACAACGAGCCUGUUUCGUGGGGCAGGGCUAAACAAGGCAAGAUAGAACCUCGGCGGGCAUUAGGAGGUUGGAGACAGGGUUGCAAGUCUCUGAGGCCCAGACGGGGUUCCUGCGCAGAGAUCCAGGCAGGUAAUCCACAUUCCUGCAU
ensembl:lncRNA